UAUGUCCAUUGCCGUUGAGAUUACAAGAUGUGGAACGUUAGGGACUAGCUAGACGUGCAGUUAAUGGUAGUAAACGUCAGAAAAUAGUCCUAAAAUAUCGAUUAUUUACACGUUACCUCGACAAUAAGUUGUUCCUUUAUCAGAAACCUAGCUGUGAAUAAGAGGGAGACCGUUUCUGUUGAGUUAAGUGAAGAAAGUCCGGUUCUCUUUUUGAAAGACCAGAUAAGAUUUGGAGAAACACUUGAGAUGGCGAGCCCAGCCCAGCUAGACUGUGGACGGUUGUGGAUGCGGUGCGGCCUUCUGUAGGAUCUGCCCACAGAAGACGUCUGACUGGCUCGAUUACUCAUACCGACCCCAGAGAAACUCAGACAGUCGUUGUCACUGAGCGAGAGGUGAAAUGGCGCAGAAAGGAGUUCAGCUGGACCGGGAAACCUUCUCUUGUUCCAUCUGUCUGGAUCUACUGAAGGAUCCGGUGACUACUCCUGCUGU